UACGUAGGGGGCAAGCGUUGUCCGGAAUCAUUGGGCGUAAAGAGCGCGUAGGCGGCCCUGUAAGUCCGCUGUGAAAGUCGAGGGCACAACCCUUGAAUGCCGGUGGAUACUGCAGGGCUAGAGUCCGGAAGAGGCGAGUGGAAUUCCUGGUGUAGCGGUGAAAUGCGCAGAUAUCAGGAGGAACACCGAUGGCGAAGGCAGCUCGCUGGGACGGUACUGACGCUGAGGCGCGAAAGCGUGGGGAGCAAACAGG
rnacentral:rRNA from 1 species